rnacentral:rRNA from 1 species
AACGAACGCUGGCGGCAGGCUUAACACAUGCAAGUCGAACGGAUCCUUCGGGAUUAGUGGCAGACGGGUGAGUAACGCGUGGGAACGUACCCUUUGCUACGGAAUAACUCAGGGAAACUUGAGCUAAUACCGUAUGUGCCCUACGGGGGAAAGAUUUAUCGGCAAAGGAUCGGCCCGCGUUGGAUUAGCUAGUUGGUGGGGUAAUGGCCUACCAAGGCGACGAUCCAUAGCUGGUCUGAGAGGAUGAUCAGCCACACUGGGACUGAGACACGGCCCAGACUCCUACGGGAGGCAGCAGUGGGGAAUAUUGGACAAUGGGCGUAAGCCUGAUCCAGCCAUGCCGCGUGAGUGAUGAAGGUCUUAGGAUUGUAAAGCUCUUUCACCGGUGAAGAUAAUGACGGUAGCCGGAGAAGAAGCCCCGGCUAACUUCGUG